CAAAAAGUAGUUUAAUUAAAAUAAUAAUUUUGGGAAUUAUUGAUAUUUUUAAAAAAAUUUUUUUGA
rnacentral:tRNA from 1 species